AUACGGAGGAUCCGAGCGUUAUCCGGAUUUAUUGGGUUUAAAGGGUGCGUAGGCGGCCUUUUAAGUCAGCGGUGAAAGUCUGUGGCUCAACCAUAGAAUUGCCGUUGAAACUGGGAGGCUUGAGUAUGUUUGAGGCAGGCGGAAUUCGUGGUGUAGCGGUGAAAUGCUUAGAUAUCACGAAGAACCCCGAUUGCGAAGGCAGCCUGCCAAGCCAUGACUGACGCUGAUGCACGAAAGCGUGGGGAUCAAACAGGAUUAGAUACCCUGGUAGUCCACGCAGUAAACGAUGAACACUAGCUGUUUGCGAUACAGUGUAAGCGGCACAGCGAAAGCGUUAAGUGAUCCACCUGGGGAGUACGCCGGCAACGGUGAAACUCAAAUGAAUUGACGGGG
rnacentral:rRNA from 1 species